UACGUAGGGUGCGAGCGUUAAUCGGAAUUACUGGGCGUAAAGCGUGCGCAGGCGGUUCGUUGUGUCGGCGGUGAAAGCCCCGGGCUUAACCUGGGAAUGGCCGUCGAAACUGGCGAACUGGAGUGUGGCAGAGGGGGGUGGAAUUCCGCGUGUAGCAGUGAAAUGCGUAGAGAUGCGGAGGAACACCGAUGGCGAAGGCAGCCCCUGGGCUGACACUGACGCUCAGGCACGAAAGCGUGGGGAGCAAACAGG
rnacentral:rRNA from 1 species